GUAUUUUAGUCGUGCUGCAGAACCCAACCACCUGAAGAGGUUUGCAAACCUCGUAAUUAGUCCCCACCCAGAGAACACUGCACAAUUUAAGCAUAAUCCUUUGCAUUUCAAAGGCUUCCCUUUCAGUAACUUAGAGAAAAAAUAAGGGGGAGGAAAAACUCAAAGUGGUGACAGCUAAGCCUUUUUUAAUGAAAGAAAAAAGAAGUUAACAUGGCCCAGUCAAUCCGAACAGGCGGUAUCUGCGGACAGUGGUGAACGGCAAGGAGAUCCACCACAAGUGUUCACUGUGCACCUCAUGCCCCAGCGCUGAGGGCUACGCAGGGGUAAUUAAUUAAAAGGAGUGGAAACCAAAAAUACAGUGACCUAAACAUGGCCCCAGACCUGGCCGUCUAACUGAAGAGACAGAACUAGAACUGAAUGGCACAGUGUAAAGGAAGGAGGCGGCGAGCACCAGGCAGGGCCGGAGCUUUCGAGCAUCCCUGCUCCCCGGCAAGAGGCAUCCCGAGAGGCGCCGUCCAUUUUUGAGGAGGUGGAAGCAAGAGGACGGCGAGCCUGGCAGAGAAACGGAGGCUCGCCGGAGGAUGGAGACGGGCUGAGAGGCAUUGCUGAGGGUUUCGGACACCUCACCUUCCUCUUGUCCCUGUGAAGCCCCCAGCUGCUAAGAUCAGAGCAGGAUGAGAAAGGACCAGCGUCCUCUCUGGAAAACUGGACUGGCAGCUUUCUCCAGGACCCCAGAAGAGAGUCAGCAUAAUGAAGAAGGGCCUCAGGAAGAUAUUUUCAAAGGCAAACCUUCCAUGGCCCGGAUCACCACUUCUAACGGAGGUCCCAGAGCACUAGCUCGGCCAUCGCCCUCUGUCUCCACCAGCUCCAGGCCAUCCAACGCGUGGCAUCCUGCCAACCUCCCAUCCAAACUCCCUCCGACUUUACUCCCCCACAUCUGCUCUGAGCUUGGGGUUUGUAUGCAAAAGCGGCUGGUGACUCUGAAAGCCAGGGCCACCCGUGGACAUACGGAGGCUCUUUAUAAGGUAGCUACUUAGUUCUAGAACACAGAAUGUAGAACAGAAGAAAGUACAAUUAAUUUCUUUUUUUUUUUUUUUAAAGGAAGCACUCAGUCACCCACCUCAUGGGACAACGGUGAGAAUGACUGAAAUAAUUAAUCAUGAAGCGCUUUGUGCUCCCAGGAGUAGGAGCACUCUGUGAGAGCCAAGCCCGUUUACUGUCAUUAGUGGCAGGGUUGGUAUUUUCCUUGGGAUUUCAUUAAGAAGAUUAAAUAUACAAGGCACACUCAUCAUGUGUCAACCAAUCAUGAGACGCAGUGUUUCUCAUCAAGGUGAUGAUUACAACAUAGCCAUUCCUAUGCUGAUCCUUUCCUACCGGAUGUUUUAAAACUCGGCUUCUACGUCCUAGCUGUUAAUCUUUUUAUUGGAGGCGGGAGAAUUCCGAUGAUCAGAUCUGAUUCCAGUCGAGUUUGGAAAGACAAAACUGCAGCCCUGGGGUUGAAGGACAGAAGCUAGCCUGCAGGAGGAGAGGAAUCUCAGAGAGAGGAGGCGUCACAGGGAAAGACAACUGAAGGAUCCGUGGACGACGUGGAACACUUGGUGUGAUGUUACAAAGGACAUGGCAGAGGGCAAAUGCGAGCAGGAGCAUGCAGCCAAGACGACUCUUUGUGCCUUAAAUCCUGUGCCUCGGCCCACCUGGCUUCCUCAAGGCAGAUCACGGUUUUCAUCAUAAAGAAAUGAAAAAACAGGAAAAGAAAGAGACCGUGGAAGACCUGGAAAGCACUGUGCAGCCUACGUUUCUCAUUCUCUUAUGCCCACCACAAAAAUGUUCUACAGAUGAAGUAAUAAAGAAUGUAUUCCACUCAUACAUGGUAUAUGCUGUUUUCAGCUUCCAUCAAAAACACGGGGCUGUGUGUGUUCUGGAACUGCUUUUGCAUGACUGGCUGAAGAAGCCAUUGCUUUCCAAGGGUUGGAGACUAUGAAAAGCAAUACUUUCUCCAAAUCCAUUAAGGUCAGGGUAUUUGGCUCUAGAUUUCCCCAGAAUUUAAACUGCUAUGUUGUAUUUAAACAAAUUAUUUGUCUCUCAAAAGCACUUAUUUGAUCAAUUCUUCCAAUCUAGGCUUUGGUUUCUGCAAAUAACCUACUAAUGGUGAUUUAUGUUUCCUAAACUUGGGUCUAUGAAGAGGAAGCCAGCUUCCCCAGCAAAUCCAACACAAGGAAUAGCUCACGUGGUGAAGAGGUGGCAAAAGAAGGACCUAAUGAUUAACAUCCUGGGUCUAACCGAAUGCCACUGUAACAAGCUUAAGGAACUCAAGUGACUGUUAUAUUGGUAUCUGAAAUAUACAUAUGCCAUAUUUAUCUAUUGAAUUUUCGCCUACCCUAAUAAAUUAAGGAAAAGAAACUGCCA